AGAGCAAUAAUUCUUCACUGUUUCUUCCAUGGAAUCUCCUGGAUGCCUUUGUCCUCUCUCUGAGGAUGUUCUUGCUGUAGAAACUGAAGAAAUGCCUUAUCUCAGAGAGAUUCAUCACUGUUGUGUGUAUCUAAGAGCUUGAUCGAGUGAGCAAGACUUUAACCGCUGAACAAGCCGUGUUCUUUGACAUCUGCACUGGGCCAUCCUUGGACACUGGCUUGAUCCCACCCUUCUGCUUUCAAGCCAAGCUGUAGCGCACACUCUUGUGUCUGCUUCCUUACACAUGUGUACAAGAGGGUCUUUGGGGUUUUGCUCAGACUCCUGGAUGUCACCGGCCAUCUCCGCUUCUCUGCUGACUUGCUUCCCUCAGGGUGACACUCUGCUGGUCCCUCCAUGGUGCUGCAGACGGCAUUAUUCCACUCUUUUAAACGGAGGAGGAAUAUUCCUUUGCAUAUAUGUACGACAUCUUCUUCAUCCAUGCCUCAGCUGAUGGACAUUUAGGCUUAACCACUGGACUGCCAGGCAAGUCCCAACAAGCCUGUCACUAAUCUUCUCAACAACUCCCUCCCUUGUCCUGCUGUAUCACUCGACAGAACCGUGAGGCCAGCAGAGCAUCGCCGGCAUUCUAGAUGCUCACCCGGCUUGUUUUCCUGUUUCUGCUCCAAGGAGCAACUAGAUGGACAUAGUGGUGAGGAUGUGGGGCUGAAGCCAGAGAGGGAUGCAUAGUGAGAGGACCGGACUCCAAAGUCUGCUUCUGGGAUGUGAGCUCACAUCCCAGCAGGCGGACAGGUGCUGGUGGGCACAG
ensembl:lncRNA